CUAGCGUUGCUCGGAAUCACUGGGCGUAAAGCGCACGUAGGCGGAUUGCUAAGUCAGGGGUGAAAUCCUGGAGCUCAACUCCAGAACUGCCUUUGAUACUGAAGAUCUUGAGUUCGGGAGAGGUGAGUGGAACUGCGAGUGUAGAGGUGAAAUUCGUAGAUAUUCGCAAGAACACCAGUGGCGAAGGCGGCUCACUGGCCCGAUACUGACGCUGAGGCACGAAAGCGUGGGGAGCAAACAGG
rnacentral:rRNA from 1 species